UGGGGAUGGAGUGACGGAUUUGAAUACAUUCCUGGAUCUCCUCUCUGGGACAAGAACAGACCUGUCAGCUCAUCCAACCAGUGUGCUGCGCUUUGCAAUGUACAGAAUCCAUCAGCUUCUACCAGGUGGAUGCAAUAUAGUUGCUCCGGCACCUAUCCAUACCUGUGCAAGUACCGAGCGGCAUACUAGGCCUGUGAUGGGCCUUCAGCUGAAAUGGCCGACAAAGGUUUGAGCAACAAAUGGGGCAUGAAGAGAGGACAUCCCUUGAACCAGCGGAAGAAGGCUGCACCCAGCAAGGCACCACAUUCCCCAAAGGCUCCAGCAUCAAGGAGAGACCUGGAACUUCUCCCAUUCCUGGUGGUCUCUUUCAAAUCCCAGAUGCUUUGUUCUUUUCUUCUCAUUGGCUGCCCAAUGUCUGUACCUUUCCCUUCUUUUGAUUCCUCCCAUUCUGUAAUCCCAGUUUGCUCCAUAAAACCUGCUCAAAGAAGGUGAAUCCAAACCUUCUUUUCCUUCCAUGGCGAAAAGCGUUCCUCUUCAGAGCCACCUCCUUGCUUGGGCAUUGAACAAACCUCAGGGCUCAGAAUGAAGCUCUUCUAAUGAAGGACAUCUUCCUUGGCUGAGUCUAUUCAUUUCCAUGAGAUGAGAAUAAAGCAAAUGAAGCACAUGGGUGGGUUAGGGUGUUGGUUCUGUCAGUUUUUUUGUCUUCUCUGAUGUUCCUCUUCUCCUGAGAUAACAAUAAAUUCUUUUU